CCUACGGGAUGCAGCAGUGGGGAAUAUUGCGCAAUGGGCGAAAGCCUGACGCAGCGACGCCGCGUGAGGGAUGAAGGUCUUCGGAUCGUAAACCUCUGUCAGCAGGGAAGAACGGUCACUGUGCUAAUCAGCAGUGAAUUGACGGUACCUGCAAAGGAAGCACCGGCUAACUCCGUGCCAGCAGCCGCGGUAAUACGGAGGGUGCGAGCGUUAAUCGGAAUUACUGGGCGUAAAGCGCUCGUAGGCGGUAUGUCAAGUCAAGGGUGAAAUCCCCGCGCUCAACGUGGGAACUGCCUUUGAAACUGGCAAACUGGAGUGUGUGAGAGGAGAGUGGAAUUCCAGGUGUAGGAGUGAAAUCCGUAGAUAUCUGGAGGAACAUCAGUGGCGAAGGCGACUAUCUGGAACAUAACUGACGCUGAGGAGCGAAAGCGUGGGUAGCAAACAGGAUUAGAUACCCUAGUAGUC
rnacentral:rRNA from 1 species